UACGUAGGGGGCUAGCGUUGUCCGGAUUUAUUGGGCGUAAAGAGCUCGUAGGUGGUUCGGUAAGUCGGGUGUUAAACCCCCAGGCUCAACCUGGGGACGCCACUCGAUACUGCUGUGACUUGAGUCCGGUAGGGGAGCGUGGAAUUCCUGGUGUAGCGGUGAAAUGCGCAGAUAUCAGGAGGAACACCAGCGGCGAAGGCGGCGCUCUGGGCCGGUACUGACACUGAGGAGCGAAAGCGUGGGUAGCAAACAGG
rnacentral:rRNA from 1 species